CUGGUUUCCUCCCUCCCUUGCCGCGGAGGGGAAAGAGAGGGAGUGUGGCGGGGCGGGUGAUAAUGGGGAGGUACCAGGGCAUAUAAUAGAGCUGGGGGUAGGCGAAGGGAGCGCCAGUGCGUGGCGACGACUCCGGGAGGGGAGGUUCUUGGAGGAAAGGGCGGGGGCUUCUGAUGUAAUGGGGAGUAGUGAUCAAUCCUUCGUUUUGCCCUUUCAGCUUUCCCCACCCACUCCAACCUUCACCCGAUUUUUUAAGCGGAAAAAAAGUGGAGCGCGGAAGCCAAUCUUUGCUAACUCGGAUUUUCUGUGGAUGUUUAUGGGAUUCUAAAUACCUCUCUCAGCUCACAAGAACGGAAUCAGCUGUGGCAAGCAGCUCAAAAAGAAGCUGAUCACAGACAUGAGGACUCUAACAGUAUUGCCUACAGACUCCAACAUUAUGCAUACCAGAGACAAGCCUUACCAACCUACCAUUGACCGGAGCCGCGGGAGACAGGAGACCAAACUCGAGCAGGAUCAGCUCUCAAAGUUUAUUGCGUACAGCGAACCGGACCUAACAAGGUCCGCCACCCUCAACGUUGGUUCCUCUUCCGCCCGUUGGGGGCAGGAACAGCCUCUUAUAAGGGGAAGCAGUAUCCAAUCACAGAGAAGCGCGUCUAACAAGCUGAUAGGCUAGCGUCACGGGUGACUGGGCAGACAUGACAAUUUGGCGGGCUUGUUCAGGCCGGGAAGAACCCGGAAGCAGGAAAUGGGCGCCAUCAUAGGCGGCUUCCCACAUACCAUCUUAACUUUUAUGCUUUCAGAUGGGGGAGUAAUCACCUCUCAUAACUCCACUCCUCCUAACCCCACAUUUAAUUGUCAGAAUUCUGCCUUACCGUGGAAAUGUUUCUACCUCAACAUGGUCCUGAUAGAAUGAUAUGUCUAAAUCAAAGGCACCUUUCCCUCUACCUCACCUGGGUCCUUAAAUAUGACAGUGCCAUGUCUCCUCAUAACAUCUUGUCUCUUUGUUUUUCCAGUCUGACAUACGUGCAUUCACCAGUGAAGUUGUCCUGGCUAAAACACCUGGCAGCAGCGUCUACCUGGGCAUCAACCUUCAUCCCAUCGACUCCCCUAGGCUCCAGUACAGCGCCCUUUUCCAGCAGGAAGUAGUUAAAGAGAGAAAUCUUCACCCCUUUUCAUAAUAAUAAUCAUAAGACGGGAUAUGAAAGGGUUUUGGCCCAGACAGGAUUCUGUAGCCAGGAAAACCUCAACCGGAAGCAGGAAGCCCCAUCUCCCCUGCCCCUAGGGAGUUACCUGUGAUGCCAUCUUCCCGCCCCUGGAAAUUUACAUAUGGCACCAAACCUAGGACCAAUGGGCUACCUGUGCAUCCCUAAUGCCCGCCUUAGGUUCCACCCCAAACCGAGGCUAUUUACAGGCCCCCACGCCACGUGUCCGCCUGAGAGAUCGCCGGACACCAGCGGUGGGGUUGCCGGUCAUCUCUCUCUGUGUUCUCAGAAUAAAGGCCACUUUUUAUUUUAUAUUUCUCAUCUUUUGUUAAUAUAUUUCAUCUUUUGGAAAUAACCCUAGCAACUUCCACCUCACUUCCCCCCUAAAGAAAAC
ensembl:lincRNA